CCAGGCGGCAUCUUCAUGUAAACCACUUCCUCCAAAUCACCGUGUAAGAAAGCAUUUUGGACAUCCAUCUGAUGGAGUUCCCAAUUCUUUGUAUCCGUAACGGCAAGAAAGGUGCGCACAGUAACCAUUUUUGCUGUAGGAGCAAAAGUCUCCUGAUAAUCUAUGCCUUCAACUUGAUUAUUUCCCAAUAUCACUAACCGCGCCUUGUAUCGUUCAACACUUCCAUCAGAAUUGUAUUUAAUUUUGUAUACCCACUUGCUUCCUAUUGCUUUCUUCCCAAAUGGCAGAUUUUCAACUGUCCAUGUACCAUUAUCCUCCAAAGCCUGUAUUUCUUUUCUCAUAGCCGCUCUCCACCAUUCAUCCUUAUUUGCUUCUGCAUAAGAGCUUGGUUCAUGUCCUGUAGUAAUGGCUGCCAAAAAACAUCGGUGUUGUGCAGAGAAUUUAUCAUAACCCACAUAAUGUGCUAUAGAGUAAGGCGUACCUGAGGAAUCAGAUUGGGAAGGUGAGCAUACCGAGGGGCUUGUUUUGAUGGCGUUUGUCACAUAAUCCUUCAAACGAACACUAGGUUGCUUGGCCCUUUGUCCCCUACCUAGUUGCUCUUCAACAACUUCACCUCUAUCCACUCCCUCACUGUUUUCAUGGAUCAAUUCUUCCGUUUCAGGAUUCACCUCACUUUCUCUACCCACACUUUCAUCGUGCUCCUUUCCCAAGUUGUUCUCUAAACCAUCAACUUCAUCACCCAACUCCUCAACUCCAUUUUUAAUGAGUUCAUCACCCAUUGUUUUCUCAUUUGCAUAUGGAAAUUCUGUUUCAGCGAAUACCACGUCUCUUGAUACAAAGUAUUCUUUAGUUUCCAAAUCAUACAAUCUCCAUCCCUUCUUUUCAAAUGGAUACCCAACAAAAACAUACCUACGACUUCUACUACCAAAUUUAUCUUUAUCCCGAUUCAGAUUAUGCGCAUAGCACAAACAACCGAAAACCCGAACGUGUUUGUAAGAAGGUACUUUCCCAAAGAGCAUCUCAUAUGGGGUUUUACCAUUUAAUAACAUAGAUAGAGUCCUAUUAAUCAAAUACCCGGCUGCAAGUACACAUUCUCCCCAAAAUUCUAUGGGUAAAUUUGCUUGGAAACGCAAGGCUCUUGCCACAUUAAGAAUAUGGCGAUGUUUUCUUUCCACUCGGCCAUUUUGUUGAGGUGUUCCUACACAGGAAGUCUGAUGCAACAUCCCUUGUUCAUCAAAAUAUUCUUUCAAGCACAUAAAUUCACUUCCGUUAUCACUUCUGACAAUUUUCACAUUUUUUUCAAAUUGGCGUUUAACCAUCACAACAAAUUUCUUAAGAACACAAGCUACUUCUUGUUUUCCAUUCAACAAAUAUAUCCAAAUAGCACGAGAGUAAUCAUCAACAAUUGUUAAGAAGUAAAUUGCUCCACAAGAAGUUGGGACUCUAUAAGGUCCCCACAAAUCACAAUGUAUCAAUUCAAAACAACCAUCAGCUUUAUUGUCACUAGAAAAGAAAAUCUCUCUUGUUUGCUUUGCUCUAAAACAAACUUCACAAGUUUUAUUAGUUUUCCUAACUAUGCUACCAGCUUCUGGAAUUAACUCUACCACCUUAUAAGAAGGAUGACCCAUUCUCUUAUGCCAAAGCUCAAAAGACCCCACAUCAGUUACCUUGCAAGCAUGUACCGAUGUCACUCCCUUGAGAAAGUACAGCCCCUCGCGUUGCUCACCCGCUCCAAUCAGGUUCCUCGAAUUUAGGUCCUGUAUAGCACAAAUUUUGUUAGUGAGUUGAAUAACCAAAUUUGAAUCAUUAAGUAGUUGUGAUACAGAGAUCAGAUUGCAAUUCAAAUUUGGCACAUAAAGGACUCGUUGCAAUUUCAAGUCUCCUCCAAGCAACACAGUUCCUUCUUUCACCGCCAAGGUCUUUUCUCCAUUAGGUAACCCGACUGAGCAUGGCACAAUGUCACGCAAUUCACUCAAAAAUGCCAACGUUCCUGUCAUAUGAUGGGAAGCUCCUGUGUCAAUAAUCCAAGGAAAUAUCCUCUGCGUACCUGUCAGCCUCUCAUUGCCACCAUUCUGACAAGAAUUCAACAUGCCCAGCAAAGCAGCCCACUGCUCUUCAUUUAAUCCACUAAGACCCUUUCGAUCUGAAUCUGUCACAAUUCCACGCCCACCAUCAACUCCAGUUGCUUGUGUGGCGUUGGCACGAGCAACUCCUCCCUUGCUACGUCCUGCUCCAUUGCCACGCUUUUGACCACCUCCUCGUCCAGCAGAAGUUCCACGUGGUCUAUUACCCCACCAUUCUGGAUAACCUAUCAGCUGGAAACAACUUUCAGCAUCAUGUCCCUCUCGGUUGCAAUUAGAACAAAUUGAGGAUUUGUCUUUAUCCCCCCCUGAAUUUCGACUUCCUGCUCGAAUUGCAAAACUCAUAGGAUUGCCUCUUUCUUCCUUGGUUCGUGUCAUAGUUCGCACCUGCUCUUGCUGAACAACCAUAGCAUAGGCACGAUUCAAAUUGGGCAAGGGUUCAGUGCUCAAAAUAUUAGAGCGCACUAUUUCAUAUCCUUCUUCAUCCAAGCACAUCAAAAACUGAUGAACUCUCUCUUCUUCGUGCUUUCUUUCCAAUUCAAUGGUAAGAUUGCAUCUGCAGCCUGCACAGAUACACACUGGUAUCUGAUCAUAGUUGUUUAUUUCAUCCCAUAACAUUUUGAGUCUUCCAAAAUAGGACACGAUCGGUUGACCUUCCUGCCUACAAUUCGCCAGAUCCGGUCUCAGUUGCUGUAUUCGUGGACCAUUCCCAAUCGAGAACCUCUGUUUAAUAUCCUCCCACAGAUCCUUUACGUUCUCCAUGUGAGAGAUGGUCGAGCGAAGCGUCGAUUCAAUGGUGUUAAACACCCAAGAAACCAGCAUAGAGUUAACCGUCCACCAAUCUUCGAGUUCCAGUGAGUCAUCUGCUGGUUGCUUGACAGAUCCAUCAAUAAAACCAUAUUUCUUUUUGGCCCGCAAUGCAGUCCGCAUAGCUCGCGCCCAUUCUUCGUAAUUCUCGCCCUUCAACUGAAAUUGGGUAAUCAAGUUACCUGGGUUGUCAUUCGAAUUCAAUGUGUAAGAACUAGAAGUUUUCUUCCCUGAUCCAGAACUCUCAUUUUUCUUUUCAUCAGCCAUGGCUCUGAUACCAUGUAAAAGAACUAAGAAAUUUUGGAAUAAGAAUUCUGAUCUUUAUUGCCCCAGAAAUCAAAGAUAUAUAUAAAAAAUUACAGCUAACAAAUAGGUUCCUAAUCAAGCUAAACUACCAAAAUUGUAUCAGAAUCAUACAACAAAAGGUAAGAACAAAUAUGCACACAAAAAUUCCUAAAUAAAUGCCCUAAAUAAAUGAAAAAUAAGUGACAGCUAACAGCUGCCUUUCCAAUACCCCCCUCAAGUUGAAGCAUGGAGAUCUCGAAUGCCCAACUUGCAAAGAAGAAAGUCAAACUGAUUCUUUCCCAACGCCUUUGUGAAGAU
rnacentral:misc_RNA from 1 species